rnacentral:rRNA from 1 species
GAUGAACGCUGACAGAAUGCUUAACACAUGCAAGUCGAUGGGGAAGUGGUGCUUGCACCAUGGCAACCAUGGCGGACGGGUGAGUAACGCGUAAGGGACUUACCUGCAGGACGGGGAUAACAGGGGGAAACUCCUGACAAGACCGGAUAAUGUCAUGGAGCUGCAUGGCUUUAUGAUGAAAGGAGACGCCUGCGGAGAGCCUUGCGUCCUAUUAGCUAGUUGGUGAGGUAAUGGCUCACCAAGGCGAAGAUAGGUAGCCGGCCUGAGAGGGUGGACGGCCACAAGGGGACUGAGAUACGGCCCUUACUCCUACGGGAGGCAGCAGUGGGGAAUAUUGGACAAUGGGGGCAACCCUGAUCCAGCAAUUCUGUGUGCACGAAGAAGGUUUUCGGAUUGUAAAGUGCUUUCAGCAGGGAAGAAGUAAGUGACGGUACCUGCAGAAGAAGCGACGGCUAAAUACGUG